rnacentral:miRNA from 1 species
UCCCUCCGUUCUAUGAAGAUUGGC